rnacentral:lncRNA from 1 species
GGAAAACAGACGCAACAGCAAGGAUAUUUCUCUCUCUUCUCUUUUCCCCCCUUUGCCCAUGUUUGUCUUUUUCUGCGUUUGUGGGUUACCUCUGGCGCACACCGACGCCCCUCCAGACCCGCCUCUUUCUGUUUGCGCGCGUGGUCUCUGUUCGCUUUUUUCCUUUCUUGUCUUUUUUUUGACCACGCACGCGGCGCGCUUCCGCGACAGGACCACAGGGGCAAAGCACCUCGGCGCGCAUUGGGCGAGGCGUGUCUAGGCUUGGGUCCGCUUGCGGCAAAACAGGGUGCCCGUCUUUGGGGCGUGGUCCGACGGCGCAGCGGUGAGGCGCUCUACUGCGAGCGGCAACACAAACGCCGCUGCUGCGGUGAGCAUGCCCCAAGCCAACAAGCGGACAGGGUCGAUUUGGGCGCGCGGCCGCGCCCAUCUGCAUGCGGGGUCGCCCGACACACCCGGACCACCGCGCUUUUUGAGCACAAACGGCGGCGCAACGACCACGAGCACCAACACGACCACGACCGCAGCGCCGAUGGCCAAAACGGCUGGGCUGCGCAGCGCGGAGGUCGCGCGCGCCGACGCCAUCGAGGGUGCCGCCGCCGCGCGGACAGGGCCGUUCGAGGCUUCGGCCGACGCCGCGGUUGUUUCUUGCGCAGUGCGCUGCAAUUUGGGGGCGAGCAUCGUCGGCGCCGUUUCGGCUUGUGCGACAGGGGCGGUUUGAGGCGACGUUUCCAACGGCGGCGGGGGCGGCGGCGGCAGUGGGCAGAAAGGUUCAAUCGGUGACGGCAGAGCGUCGAGUGCGGCCAUAGGUGCGGCUGGCGCCGCGUGGCGCCGCAGAGGGGGUGAAGGCGGACGGAGCGCGUCAAGGCACUGGUGAAUGGCGGCCAUCUUGGCGCCGCCUGCCAUAGACGGCCCGCCCCAGGCACUCGCACCGUAGGCGCUGUUCAUGCCGCCUUGCGGCGACGAUCAGCGGAGAUGGCGAGGGCCGCAGCACACCGAGUGUGUCGACGUCGCCGAGAGCACAGAGGGAAGGAGGCGAACGCCGAGAUGUACAAGCCAACCGCAAGACGCACACAAAUGGAUGCGUG